rnacentral:lncRNA from 1 species
AUUUCUAAGUUUAAGUCUCGGUAACAUGCUUGAAACAGUUAUUAAAAGUACACCUUGUCUUCAUCUGUAACAGUAGUUGGUUCCAAUUAAUAAACAAAUAAAUACAUGGUGUUAAUUUCAAUAGUGUUUUUUUAAGAAGUACACACAUAUGUUAAAUAUUUAUUUCUAAUCUUCUGUAGGUAUGUGAAAUUCUGAAGUCGACAUAUAUAAGUUUGAAAGCAACCGUGAGCAUAAUAUCUUUUCCAUUCCUAAAGUGCAUCUGCACUUACUAUCCUUGCCAAAAAAAAAACCGGUACCUUCAUCAAGCGAUGCAUGGCUGAAUGAUAGAUAAUGAUUCUUUGCCUUCUCAGAGCGCUUUGAUCUUGUGCGAUGCUGGAUUGCUUCAGAAAAUUGUAAAUGCCAGGGACAACAAACUCGUUGAAGAAUGAACUGAAAAAAUAAUAAUUAUGUGUAGAAUAGAUACCUACUGCAGCCCGCCUGGUCCUGAAAGCAGACUGGCCAAAAGAAAUUACCAAAGGCCAUAUCUCACACUGUAACAACAUGGAAGAUGACCAUAAGGUCACUGUAG